UAGGGAAUCUUCCGCAAUGGACGAAAGUCUGACGGAGCAACGCCGCGUGAGUGAAGAAGGAUUUCGGUUCGUAAAACUCUGUUGUUAGGGAAGAAAAAAUGUAUAGUAACUAUAUACAAAAGAGACGGUACCUAACCAGAAAGCCACGGCUAACUACGUGCCAGCAGCCGCGGUAAUACGUAAGGUCCGAGCGUUGUCCGGAAUCAUUGGGCGUAAAGGGUACGUAGGCGGAUAAGCAAGUUAGAAGUGAAAUCCUAUAGCUCAACUAUAGUCAGCUUUUAAAACUGCUCAUCUUGAGGUAUGGAAGGGAAAGUGGAAUUCCUAGUGUAGCGGUGAAAUGCGCAGAUAUUAGGAGGAAUACCGGUGGCGAAGGCGACUUUCUGGCCAUAUACUGACGCUGAGGUACGAAAGCGUGGGUAGCAAACAGG
rnacentral:rRNA from 1 species